UUAGGUAAUUUCUCUUUUCUUUUCUUCAUCUUUACAGGUGGUUCUAAACAAGUGGAUUCAGGCAGCUCACCUACCACAUCCUCUUUAGGUAAUUUCUCUUUUCUUUUCUUCAUCUUUACAGGUGGUUCUAAACAAGUGAAUUCAGGCAGCUCACCUACCUCAUCCUCUUUAGGUAAUUUCUCUUUUCUUUUCUUCAUCUUUACAGGUGAUUCUAAACAAGUGGAUUCAGGCAGCUCACCUACCACAUCCUCUUUAGGUAAUUUCUCUUUUCUUUUCUUCUUCUUUACAGGUGGUUCUAAAUAAAUGCAUUCGGGCAGCUCACCUAUAUCAUCCUCUUCAGGUAAUUUCUCUUUUCUUUUCUUCUUCUUUACAGGUGCUUCUAAAUAAGUGGAUUCAGGCAGCUCACCUAACUCAUUCUCUUUAGGUAAUUUCUCUUUUCUUUUCUUCUUCUUUACAGGUGGUUCUAAAUAAGUGGAUUCAG